UACGUAGGUGGCAAGCGUUGUCCGGAUUUACUGGGCGUAAAGAGCGCGCAGGCGGUCGUUCAAGUCGAGUGUGAAAGCCCCCGGCUCAACUGGGGAGGGUCACUCGAUACUGAUCGACUCGAAGGCAGAAGAGGGAAGCGGAAUUCCAGGUGUAGCGGUGAAAUGCGUAGAUAUCUGGAGGAACACCGGUGGCGAAGGCGGCGUCCUGGACCAACACUGACACUGAGGAGCGAAAGCCAGGGGAGCAAACGGG
rnacentral:rRNA from 1 species